rnacentral:miRNA from 1 species
GGGAACAUUCCGGUAAGGGA